rnacentral:rRNA from 1 species
AGGGUUUGAUCCUGGCUCAGGAUGAACGCUAGCGGGAGGCUUAACACAUGCAAGUCGAGGGGUAACGAUGGUGCUUGCACUAGGCGACGACCGGCGCACGGGUGAGUAACGCGUAUGCAACCUACCUCUAACUGGGGAAUAGCCCGAGGAAACUCGGAUUAAUACCCCAUAAUAUUCAGAAUUCGCAUGUUUUCUGAAUUAAAGGUUACGGUUAGAGAUGGGCAUGCGUGCCAUUAGUUAGUUGGUAAGGUAACGGCUUACCAAGACAGCGAUGGCUAGGGGGUCUUAAAGGAUGAUCCCCCACACUGGUACUGAGACACGGACCAGACUCCUACGGGAGGCAGCAGUGAGGAAUAUUGGUCAAUGGGCGAAAGCCUGAACCAGCCAUCCCGCGUGCAGGAUGACGGCUCUAUGAGUUGUAAACUGCUUUUAUUUGCCAAGAAACCCUCGUACGUGUACGAGGUUGACGGUAGCAUUUGAAUAAGCAUCGGCUAACUCCGUGCCAGCAGCCGCGGUAAUACGGAGGAUGCAAGCGUUAUCCGGAUUUAUUAGGUUUAAAGGGUGCGUAGGCGGAAUUUUAAGUCAGUGGUGAAAUCUUGC